rnacentral:rRNA from 1 species
UCGAACGCUGAAGCCUGGUGCUUGCACCGGGUGGAUGAGUGGCGAACGGGUGAGUAACACGUGAGUAACCUGCCCCUGACUUCGGGAUAAGCCCGGGAAACUGGGUCUAAUACCGGAUACGACUGCCGGACGCAUGUCUGGUGGUGGAAAGUUUUUUCGGUUGGGGAUGGGCUCGCGGCCUAUCAGUUUGUUGGUGAGGUAAUGGCUCACCAAGACGACGACGGGUAGCCGGCCUGAGAGGGCGACCGGCCACACUGGGACUGAGACACGGCCCAGACUCCUACGGGAGGCAGCAGUGGGGAAUAUUGCACAAUGGGGGAAACCCUGAUGCAGCGACGCAGCGUGCGGGAUGACGGCCUUCGGGUUGUAAACCGCUUUCAGCAGGGAAGAAGCGCAAGUGACGGUACCUGCAGAAGAAGUACCGGCUAACUACGUGCCAGCAGCCGCGGUAAUACGUAGGGUACGAGCGUUGUCCGGAAUUAUUGGGCGUAAAGAGCUCGUAGGUGGUUGGUCACGUCUGCUGUGGAAACGCAACGCUUAACGUUGCGCGUGCAGUGGGUACGGGCUGACUAGAGUGCAGUAGGGGAGUCUGGAAUUCCUGGUGUAGCGGUGAAAUGCGCAGAUAUCAGGAGGAACACCGGUGGCGAAGGCGGGACUCUGGGCUGUAACUGACACUGAGGAGCGAAAGCAUGGGGAGCGAACAGGAUUAGAUACCCUGGUAGUCCAUGCCGUAAACGUUGGGCACUAGGUGUGGGGGGCAUUCCACGUUCUCCGCGCCGUAGCUAACGCAUUAAGUGCCCCGCCUGGGGAGUACGGUCGCAAGGCUAAAACUCAAAGGAAUUGACGGGGGCCCGCACAAGCGGCGGAGCAUGCGGAUUAAUUCGAUGCAACGCGAAGAACCUUACCAAGGCUUGACAUACACCGGACCGUCCUGGAAACAGGUCUUCUUCUUUGAAGCUGGUGUACAGGUGGUGCAUGGUUGUCGUCAGCUCGUGUCGUGAGAUGUUGGGUUAAGUCCCGCAACGAGCGCAACCCUCGUUCUAUGUUGCCAGCAUGUGAUGGUGGGAACUCAUAGGAGACUGCCGGGGUCAACUCGGAGGAAGGUGGGGAUGACGUCAAAUCAUCAUGCCCUUUAUGUCUUGGGCUUCACGCAUGCUACAAUGGCUGGUACAGAGAGAGGCGAACCCGUGAGGGCAAGCGAAUCCCUUAAAGCCAGUCUCAGUUCGGAUCGUAGUCUGCAAUUCGACUACGUGAAGUCGGAGUCGCUAGUAAUCGCAGAUCAGCAACGCUGCGGUGAAUACGUUCCCGGGCCUUGUACACACCGCCCGUCAAGUCACGAAAGUCGGUAACACCCGAAGCCGGUGGCCUAACCGUAAGGAGGGGG